GAGCAGGAGAAUCUUUAAACAUCCACCAUUUUCAACAGUUCAACAGUUCUGAUUGUUAGCCUGUUAGCAGGUCUUUAUACUGUAUUUUAUGACCUAUAAGGUGCUUCAUAUUGUAAGGCGCACUUUCAAUAAAUCUCUAUUUUCUGGUUUAUUUUCAUAAAUAAGGGGCAUCAGAUUAUAAGGCGCAUUUUAAAAGCAACAAUAGUAAGGAACAGGGGUGUCGCACAGUAAUCUACACAGAUAUCUCUCCUGGAAACUGUUUAUUUGGCUUGGCUGGUUUCCAGGACCACUGCCAGUAGGUACUUAAGACCUGACCACAACAAACUGGACUGCUAUUUCUGCUACCUUUAGGCUUUUAGGGUUUCUUGGAUGUUACAGAUAUUAUCUUAAGUACAGCAUGAGUGGAAAAGUAAAAUUUGUGGAAAAGAAGUUCAGCAGCUCCCUGGAUUCCAGUUUUAUGAUUUGGCUAAGCAAGUGGAAAUGUACAUGAACAUUCCAGUAUUAACAACAAACAGAAACUUAAUGGUGUGUUUCUUCUCAUAUUCACAGUCAGUAGCAUAUCUAGGAUUUCCAGAAUGCCCAGAGGGAGGUUUUUCUUCAGAAAUGGUCCCAAAUUGGUUGAUUUAGUAGCAGAUCUGAUGCAUUAGAUCCAGUUUCUGAAGACUUAUUUUACUGUUGUCUAGUGGGACAGCUCACUUACCUGCAUCUGCACAUAAAAUACGGAGAAAUAAAACCUGAUUUGAUUAUUUUCUUUUUUAGCAUUUUAAGAACUUUUGUUGAAAUAAACUACCACCGUAAUAUAUGCAGAGUUUAAAUAUAAUUAAAAUUAACUUUUGUAUUAGCCUAGUCCCAAAGCCCUGUUGGAAUGUGGUGGCAGUACCUGAAAUACAGUUUAUGCUGAAAGGCCUAUAAAUGUAACUGAGCUGAAACAGUUCUGCCAGGAGGAGUGGUCCAAAAUUACUCCACAGCUGAACAGAGGCUGGAUUGGAUGUUAAAUAUUUUAUCUUAAUAUACAGCUCUGAAAAAUUAAGAGCCCACUUCAGUUUCUGAAUCAGAUUCUCUGAUUUUGCUAUUUAUAUGUAUAUGUUUGGAUGAAAUGAACAUUGUUGUCAUAUAAAAAUAUUGUCAUUUAGAGCAUGUAUUUGCAGAAAAUGAGAAAUGGCAUUAAACCUCAAAUAAUGCAAAGAAAACAAGUUCAUAUUCAUAAAGUUUUAAAAGUUCACAAAUCAGGAUUUGGUGGAAUAACCCUGGAUUUUAAUUACAGUUUUCAUGCAUCUUGGCAUGUUCUCCUCCACUAGUCGUACACACUGCUUUUGGUUAACUUUAUGCCCCCCCGGUAUAUAAAUUCAAGCAGUUCAGCUUGGUUUGAUGGCUUGUGAUCAUCUAUCUUCCUCUUGAUUUUAUUCCAGAGAUUUUCAAUUUGGUAAAAUCAAAGAAACUCUUUUUUUUUUCAGAGCUGUAUAUGAUCUUAUAUUUUGAUACCAGCAGUGUCCUGGUGCACCUUUAAUACAUAUUGGUUUGUGUCAUUCAAGUUUUCCUAGUAAGCAUUUUUUUUAUUGCACUGUAUAAUAUAGUUCUCAGAAAUUCUCAGCUUUCUCUGAAGGCCUUGAACGCCCUAAAGGUUCUUUACUGAAGUGAGGACAUAAAGAGCUGCUGAAUGUGAGUGGCAGUACAUAUGCUGCUGAAUGUUUUUCCAGCUCCACUGAAGGCUGUAAAAAAACAUCCCCCAACUCCUAAUGUAUUUCCAUUGUGCUUAUACUGUGCUGCUGGCACUGGGUGAAGCCUUUACUGAUUUAAUGAAGCUUGACUAGUGUGUUUCUACAGAGAGAAGAAAUUAGAUGAGACUUUAUUUAUUGUGUUCUCCACAAGUGGGGAAGUGCAUUAGUGGGGAUACCUUCAGAACAGACCCUGCUGGGUCUGGUGGCUCUGUGCUUUGGGGUAAAGUACCUUUACUUAGAGGAUUCACUUUAAAUAAGUACAAGCUUGUUCUGAUACUUCUUUAUCUUAUGUUGGUAUGUCCUCAGGAUGACAAUGCCCCUCAUCCACAGGGCAUCACUGAAUGAGUUUUAGAAAUGUACAUAGGUACUGUAAAUAUGGACAUACGGCCUAUGAGAUGUCUACACAUGCCUAUGGAUUAUUAUGCAAUAGAGCAUGCAAUUGCAUAUAUCAUUGCAGUGCCAAUUGAUGGUAUAUAAAAGAAUGGUGCAGAAUUAAAAGUAUGCAGAAUAUGUACUGGGGUCUCAUAAAAAGGGUCUCAUAGCUGGCACAUGACCCAACUUUAAGAUGAUUUCAGUUCUGGUUGUAACUGUCACGCCCUUGCUCUGUUUCCCUGUGUUACUGCGUUUCCCAGUGUGUUCCCCAGUUAUUUUCCAUUUACCUGUGUGUAAUUUGUAGCUCCGCCCCCUAGCCCCAGGUGUUUCUACUUCCCGUGUGUGUUCCUGUCUAUUUAUAGCCCUGUGUUUCAGUCUGUAUUCGUCAUGCUUUGCACCUUCCCAUGUUGUUUGUUUACCCACGGUUUUCUAUAGUUAUUUCCUCGUUCCUUAGUUCUUUGUUAAAUAUAUAUUCUCUGUUUAUCCUUGUUUAUUUCUAGUUUGAUUCCUUGUUUGUUUCUUUGUUCAUUUAUUAUUUAAUAAAUCCAGUUUGUCUUA